UACGUAGGGUGCAAGCGUUGUCCGGAAUUAUUGGGCGUAAAGAGCUCGUAGGCGGUUUGUCGCGUCUGCUGUGAAAACUCGGGGCUUAACUCCGGGCCUGCAGUGGGUACGGGCAGACUAGAGUGCGGUAGGGGAGACUGGAAUUCCUGGUGUAGCGGUGAAAUGCGCAGAUAUCAGGAGGAACACCGGUGGCGAAGGCGGCCAGCUGGGCCGUCCCUGACGCUGAGGCGCGAAGGCGUGGGGAGCGAACGGG
rnacentral:rRNA from 1 species